UUCCAAAAUUGUGGCUUACAUAGGAUUCAAGUACAUUGGAAAUUUUUCCUCUUUCUUGCAAUUGCAAGAAUUCGAUUUCCAUUUCCUCUCUUGUUUGGAUCUAAUUUAGCCCUCCUAGCUAUAUCUUCCUUGCUUCCAUUGAAACUUGUCAAUAGUCUUAUGCCAGCUUUGCCUUUGGCACCAAUGAAAUUAGGUUCCUAGCCAUUCCCUCCUC
rnacentral:lncRNA from 1 species